rnacentral:rRNA from 1 species
UGGGGAAUAUUGCGCAAUGGGGGAAACCCUGACGCAGCAACGCCGCGUGAGUGAAGAAGGCCUUAGGGUUGUAAAGCUCUGUCAUAUGGGAAGAUAAUGACGGUACCAUAAGAGGAAGCCACGGCUAACUACGUGCCAGCAGCCGCGGUAAUACGUAGGUGGCGAGCGUUGUCCGGAUUUACUGGGCGUAAAGGAUGCGUAGGCGGAUAUUUAAGUGGGAUGUGAAAUCCCCGAGCUUAACUCGGGGGCUGCAUUCCAAACUGGAUAUCUAGAGUGUCGGAGGGGAAAGUGGAAUUCCUAGUGUAGCGGUGAAAUGCGUAGAGAUUAGGAAGAACACCAGUGGCGAAGGCGACUUUCUGGACGAUAACUGACGCUGAGGCAUGAAAGCGUGGGGAGCAAA